AACGCACAUUGCACCCGGUGGUAUUCCGCCGGGUAUGCCUGUCUGAGCGUCAUUUCUACCCUCGAGCACUGCUCGGUGUUGGCGGAUUGCCUAGCAACCGCUGAAAAUCAACGGCGGUGACCCCUAUGUCCCUGUAUAGUACUAUUCUUACAGUGGUUAUAGCGGUCUACCAGUCUCCUGUGCGCCGUAACAAGCGCUACACUUUGAAACUCGACCUCAGAUCAGGUAGGAAUACCCGCUGAACUUAA
rnacentral:misc_RNA from 1 species